AGGACUCGCAUACACACCCGGGGCAUGUGAGAGUUAUCGAUACUCCAUCGUCGAAGACAAGUUCAAGGCCAUAAUUGCAACAGUUGCUGCUCAUGAACUUGGACACAAUUUGAAUGCACAGCACGAUGCUACAGGUAACGCGUGUGCGGAUGCCAACUUCGUCAUGUCACCGUCCACGUCUGUUAGCGAAGAUCAAACACUGACACGCAACCAGUUCCAGUUUUCGAGUUGCUCGAUCAGUUACUUUACAGGAUAUAUUUCGACACUCACGAGUAACAACAACAACUGCCUGUCCACUCGUUCCGCGAACUACAACACAUCUGACCUUAACCCAUACCUUAGUCACCUUGCCGGUCAGGUGUAUCCUCCGGACACUCAGUGCCAGUAUAUUCAGGGUGUUGGAUCUGCCCUUUAUCG